rnacentral:hammerhead_ribozyme from 1 species
AUACUUCUGAGGAGUCCCAUAAUAGGAUGAAACAGCCGUCCAGUAC